AUGCAUUUGACUAUUUUACAAGUGAUGCAUGUCUGGAGUACGAGUAGAGCGGAAAUAAGAACUUAUAACUUGAAAUAAUAUAAGUAAUCUGUGAGAGAUAGUGAACAUGUAAAUAAAACACAAAGAUCCCUUUAAUUUACCUCAUCUCUAAUCUUAUAUAGUAAUACGUUUUAGCAAAGAAAUUGUUACUGAAGAGAGAAACCUUACUUGUAUUCGCGGAAAGAAAAUCUCAAGUUAGAGUUCUGUUGAGCCGGAGAUGAUGUCAAGGGGGGUGAGGUUGCGUUGAGAUGCCAUAAUCAAUCGUUGUCUAAGGGCUCUUGAUUCAGCAAGGACGGGGUCUACGUGAGGCUCCUUACUCAUGAAUCCUAUUUGCCAGUCACCAUUGUGGUUUCUAAUUACACCACCAAGACCACUAGUGCCCGGAUUUUGCUUAACUGCCUGGAAAGUUCACAACUUUUCAUACGAUCCUACGUAUUGUGUGUAUUGUGUGACGUGUGUCUGACAGAGUCCAGCUUCCUGUGAGAGAACUAGUGAACAAAUCAAAAGGAAGGGUAACGUCUAAAGGGGAGCUUAAUGUGAAGGAAGAGGAAGGGGAGGAACAUCUUCAGAAACCAAGUUUUCGUUUUUUCUGACCUCUACCAGCAGAGAAAGAGCCAACAGAAUACCGUGAAUUAGCAAGCUCUCGGGGAAUCGCAGCACCGGAUGUUUUAAGAGCUUCAACCAACUGGGGAAACAGUUUCUUGUUCUCUUCAUUCACAAAGACAAUUGAUGUACCUUCCUCCCCCAUUCUAGAUGCCCUUCCCACCUGGUGCACGUACUCCUUGAUGGAAUUCGGCAUAUCAAACACUAUAACCUGUUUUACAGUCAACAGAUCGAUUCCUCGACUCAACACUCCUGUGGCCACAAUAACUGGAAUUUCUCCAACUAGAAAUGAUCUUACA
rnacentral:misc_RNA from 1 species